UGGGGAAUAUUGGACAAUGGGCGCAAGCCUGAUCCAGCCAUGCCGCGUGUGUGAAGAAGGCCUUUUGGUUGUAAAGCACUUUAAGCGAGGAGGAGGCUACUUGGAUUAAUACUCUAGGAUAGUGGACGUUACUCGCAGAAUAAGCACCGGCUAACUCUGUGCCAGCAGCCGCGGUAAUACAGAGGGUGCGAGCGUUAAUCGGAUUUACUGGGCGUAAAGCGUGCGUAGGCGGCUUCUUAAGUCGGAUGUGAAAUCCCUGAGCUUAACUUAGGAAUUGCAUUCGAUACUGGGAAGCUAGAGUAUGGGAGAGGAUGGUAGAAUUCCAGGUGUAGCGGUGAAAUGCGUAGAGAUCUAGAGGAAUACCGAUGGCGAAGGCAGCCAUCUGGCCUAAUACUGACGCUGAGGUACGAAAGCAUGGGGAGCAAACAGG
rnacentral:rRNA from 1 species